UACCUGCAGCUCGAGUGGUAACCGCUAUUAUUGGGCCUAAAGCGUCCGUAGCCGGUUUGGUAAAUAUCUGGGUAAAUCGUGAGGCUUAACUUCACGAAUUUCGGAUAGACUGCCAGACUUGGGAUCGGGGGAGGUCAGAGGUACUCCAGGGGUAGCGGUGAAAUGUUGUAAUCCUUGGAGGACCACCAGUAGCGAAGGCGUCUGACUAGAACGAGUCCGACGGUGAGGGACGAAGCCCUGGGGCGCAAACCGGAUUAGAUACCCGGGUAGUCCAGGGUGUAAACGAUGUGGGCUUUGUAUUGGAGGUCCCACGUGGGCGUCCAGUGCAGAAGAGAAGUUGUUAAGCCCACCGCCUGGGAAGUACGGUCGCAAGGCUGAAACUUAAAGGAAUUGGCGGGGGAGCACAGCAACGGGAGGAGCGUGCGGUUU
rnacentral:rRNA from 1 species